GCUCUCGAAAGGCAAUUUAGCUGAAAGAGGGUUCAGACUGAUGAAUGCUUGCUUUAAUUGCCUUGACUAUGCUAUAACAACAAUGUUCUCCAGCCUUUCCUGUGGCUGAUGGGUUUGUGGUCUCACUGGGCUGUGUCUCGGAUGACUAAAGAAAGCGUUCUUCCUCCUGAGACGUUGAGCCACACCUUGGUCCUGUCCCUGGCCAUGUGUGACCUUGGACUUAGUUGCUCACUGUUCUCAGUUUUGUAAGCCUAGCUUCAAGGGCAUUUGCUGCUGCUGCUGCUGCUGCUGCUGCUGCUGCUGCUGCUGCCUGGGCUGGUUGCCAUGGUUACCCUCACCUGGGUUGGCUAGAGCUGCAGUAAGGAAGGACCACAGGCUGGCUGGCUUACAAAAUAGAAACGCGUUUUCUCAGUUCCAGAGGACACAAUUCUAAGAGGAGAUGUUGGCAGAGCUGGCGUCUUCUAAGCCCUCUGUCCUUGGCAGAUCGAUAUCUUCUUCCAGCAUUCCCCUGCCAUGUCAUUCAUAUGGCCAACUCAUCUGCUCCAGAUUCUGUAGCAUGCCCAAGGUGAAACAAACUAGAUAAAACCUGUACUCCGGACAAUGGAAGCUCCCUCAUCUUGCGCCACACAAAAUAGCCACUCCCCACCGUCUGGUGAUGUCUGGAAUCUGUGUGAAGUCUCACAAGAGAUAGGAAAUCUAAUCUAGGAAGGAAUUACAGGCACCUGCCACAGAACAACUCAGGGGUAAGAAUGUGCUUCCGGCACGGUUUGGUCAAGAAGCUCACAGCUGUGGAGCACUGCCUGGGCUUCUCGUCCAUUCCUUCCUCUCUCCCCUCCUCACAGUGUUGGCUGGGUGUGCCCACUUGGAGCUGCGAUGGCUGCUGAGUCCCAACACUCCACUUCUUCACCACCCUGGAGGAGCCUGAAGCAGCUUUGGAGCUCUGAGGUAGACAAGCACACCUUCUCAGAGGUGCUUGGACAUCCUAUGCAGGAAGCUCUGAGGAGUCUUCCAGCCCGAGGCUACUGUCUACCUUUCCUCCAAGAUUGAAACAUUUCAUCUUGCAGAGAAGGGGCUUACGCGAAUGGUCAACUCAGAAUGGCUUCAGGAAGUCCACGACCCUAACCAGGUUCUUGUAGCUCCUUCUUGCCAAGUCAAGCUGCUGAGAGCCCCUCUCAGACAGGACAAGCCGAAAAGAAGACCAGACCAGCUGCCUGGAAGGAGCAGACACCCGCUGACCGGCCUGGAAGAGGUUUAGCCCAACUGAGUCACCUGAAGAGAGUACUCAUCAUCCUGCUGAGCUGCCUGUCAGCCAUGCAGUCCUUCCAGAUUCCCAGCUCUGUGAGCUGUCACCCAGGCUGCGGUGGGCUUCGGUGAGGCAGCUGUCUUUGAGUCACUUCUGUUCCUGGCCUCAAGGAUCCAAUAUCGCUGAACUGGCAAGAAUGGUGGCCCUGUGGAGGACCCAGUCCUGACGCUGGCACUUCAGGAGCCUUAUUUGGAAGUGCUACAGCUGGGCCUCACCUACGAAGACUGGGUACCCCUCUGCUGAUCCCCAGCAAAGAGAGGGCUGUAGGACCUCUGGUGUGACCUCCAGAUGCAGCCCAGAAAUUCUGCCUUUGCCCUUGCUUGGAAACACUGGAGUCCCCAAGGACAGGUGAGGCCCAGCUUCAGCACCAAGUGUGACUCUCCAGCAUCCCCAGCCUCCUCUCACUGCGGCAAAGGGAAUGUCAGGGCUUCCUGGACCUCUGGCAGACCUCUGAGAUGGCCUGGACUUCCCCAUGGGUUCCUACAGUUCCUCAUCAUCUACUGGAUGGUUGGGAUCAAUAUGGGAGAGGACUGCCCACAACAUGGACCUGCCAAGCUGCCUGCCUUGGGGCAAGUGGAUGUACUUGACCCGCCCACCAAGGUCUGGACAGGGGGCCCUUCCACACCCCAGGAGCUGAGUGUGCUGAGCCUCCUGGGGAGCUGGGACUCACUGUUCCUCCCUGAGUGAUGUGUCAGCUGGUGGUGUAGGUAAGAGCAGAGCAGAGCAGGGCCCUCCCCACAGGGCCAGCUGGUGUCCCAGCCACCCAUACUCCUCCCCACCCCCAUCGCUUACCUGUCUGCCCAGAGCCUAGCUGCCCCUACUAACUGCCUGGACUGGUUACAACAAUGCACUGCAAUUGUUUGUUUGUCUCUUUGGAGAAGGAUGUUCAGAAAAACAGAAUGCACUAGGGCUGCGCAGGGAGAUGGCUCCGUCAUGAACAAACGAUGCCUGCAGCAGAGCCUUGUGACUUGAGUUCUAUCUAUGGAGACCCACAUGGUGGAAGGGCUCCAUUUCUGGAGGCUCCCACUGGGCAGAGCUGGCUCUUUGGCCCCAGCCUGGAUCACCUGAGAGAGAAGGCAGCCCAUUCUCAGUUUGGAAUGACUUUACUUUAAGACUCUGGUGACUCGGCCCUGGGGAUAUGACCCAACAGGUAAAGUGUCUGGUUUGCAAACUUGAGGACCAGAGUUCAAAA